AAUCCGUGGUGAGGGCAUUCCCUAUAGUAAACUUUGAACCGCUCCCAAGCUUCAUGGAAUGAUUUAGUACCGGUUUGCUGAAAGGAGGAGAUCUCAUUCCUCAUAAU
rfam:Arabidopsis thaliana chromosome 1, complete sequence.